CUUCCGUAGGGGUAACCUGCGGAGGGAUCAUUACCGAGUUUACAACUCCCAAACCCCUGUGAACAUACCUAUACGUUGCCUCGGCGGAUCAGCCCGCGCCCCGUAAAAAGGGACGGCCCGCCCGAGGACCCCUAAACUCUGUUUUUAGUGGAACUUCUGAGUAAAACAAACAAAUAAAUCAAAACUUUCAACAACGGAUCUCUUGGUUCUGGCAUCGAUGAAGAACGCAGCAAAAUGCGAUAAGUAAUGUGAAUUGCAGAAUUCAGUGAAUCAUCGAAUCUUUGAACGCACAUUGCGCCCGCCAGUAUUCUGGCGGGCAUGCCUGUUCGAGCGUCAUUUCAACCCUCAAGCUCAGCUUGGUGUUGGGACUCGCGGUAACCCGCGUUCCCCAAAUCGAUUGGCGGUCACGUCGAGCUUCCAUAGCGUAGUAAUCAUACACCUCGUUACUGGUAAUCGUCGCGGCCACGCCGUAAAACCCCAACUUCUGAAUGUUGACCUCGGAUCAGGUAGGAAUACCCGCUGAACUUAAGCAUAUCAAUAAGGCGGAGGAA
rnacentral:rRNA from 2 species